rnacentral:rRNA from 1 species
AGAGUUUGAUCCUGGCUCAGAUUGAACGCUGGCGGCAUGCUUAAUACAUGCAAGUCGAACGGUAACAGAUUCUUCGGAAUGCUGACGAGUGGCGGACGGGUGAGUAAUACAUAGGAAUCUGCCCAUGUAGUGGGGGACAACUUGGGGAAACUCAAGCUAAUACCGCAUAAUUCCUACGGGAUAAAGAGGGCCACUGCUUGCAAGCUCUUGCUACUGGAUGAGCCUAUGUCGGAUUAGUUAGUUGGUAAGGUAAUGGCUUACCAAGACAGCGAUCCGUAGCUGGUUUGAGAGGAUGAUCAGCCACACUGGGACUGAGACACGGCCCAGACUCCUACGGGAGGCAGCAGUAGGGAGUAUUGGACAAUGGGCGCAAGCCUGAUCCAGCAAUGCCGCGUGUGUGAAGAAGGCCUGCGGGUUGUAAAGCACUUUCAAUUGGGAAGAAAGAUUAUGAGUUAAUACCUUAUAAUAUUGACG